AGCCUAAAGUUUUAUUUUAGGUCAGACCUGCCCGGUGCAAAAUGUUAACGGCCGCAGUAUCUUGACUGUGCUAAGGUAGCAAAAUAAUUUGGCUUUUAAAUGGAGUCGGGAAUGAAUGGAUUAAUGGGGUAAAGCUGUCUCCCCCAUAUUAGAUUUAACUUACUAACUAGGUGAAAAUGCCUAGAUAAAAGAAAAAAGACGAGAAGACCCUAGGAGUUUUUACAAAUAUCUAUAGAGAAUAGUUUUGCGUUUUUGUUGGGGCGACAUUGGAGUAAAAAUUUUAAACCUCCACUAAUUAGAUACGCCGACUUUGUAUGUGAGAAUAAACUACCCUAGGGAUAACAGCGUAAUUUUUUAAAAGCUUGCGACCUCGAUGUUGGACUAGGAAUUUAGUAGGUUAGCCGCCUACUUAUAAGGUUCUGUUCGAACCCUGUCUCCU
rnacentral:rRNA from 1 species